AGGACAUGGAGAGAGACCAGGAAGAGAGUAUGCUGGCUCUGGAUGUCUUCUGUGGUCAGUAGAUGAUUCAGACUGAAUACCACUGCCUAAAGUUGGACACUUAAAGGAUAGUCACUAAGGUGCCAGUCAAGAGAGAGGCAGACAGCAGGACAACGUAGCAAAGACUGCUUGCUGAAAAUGUUAUCAGAGGAAACAUUAAAGUUUUGUAUUUUGAACAGUUUAAAGGGUGAGAAACAUUAAACUUUUGUAUUUUGAACAGUUUAAAGGGUUCAAGACAACAGUUUGUUUUUA